rnacentral:rRNA from 1 species
AUGGCAGGAGGGGCGAACCUCCAUGGGACGGGUCGCCACCAAGGAGAUGGAGCUCCUUCUCCAUCCAAUUUGGCAAUCUCCGGCCGCCUCCUCCAGAUCCUCGCCAACCAUGGGCCCCUCACCGUCGGCAACACCUGGAACCAUGCCAAGACACCUGGUGGUGAGGUCACCCAUCCUCGAGGAGCAGAAGGAGGGAUGUAA